AAAAACUCCGGUGGUAUGAGAUGGACCCGCGUCUGAUUAGCUAGUUGGUAAGGUAACGGCUUACCAAGGCGACGAUCAGUAGCCGACCUGAGAGGGUGACCGGCCACAUUGGGACUGAGACACGGCCCAAACUCCUACGGGAGGCAGCAGUGGGGAAUAUUGCACAAUGGGGGAAACCCUGAUGCAGCGACGCCGCGUGAGCGAAGAAGUAUUUCGGUAUGUAAAGCUCUAUCAGCAGGGAAGAAAAUGACGGUACCUGACUAAGAAGCACCGGCUAAAUACGUGCCAGCAGCCGCGGUAAUACGUAUGGUGCAAGCGUUAUCCGGAUUUACUGGGUGUAAAGGGAGCGUAGACGGAUGGGCAAGUCUGAUGUGAAAACCCGGGGCUCAACCCCGGGACUGCAUUGGAAACUGUUCAUCUAGAGUGCUGGAGAGGUAAGUGGAAUUCCUAGUGUAGCGGUGAAAUGCGUAGAUAUUAGGAGGAACACCAGUGGCGAAGGCGGCUUACUGGACAGUAACUGACGUUGAGGCUCGAAAGCGUGGGGAGCAAACAGGAUUAGAUACCCUGGUAGUCCACGCCGUAAACGAUGACUACUAGGUGUCGGG
rnacentral:rRNA from 1 species